CUCGUGUCAUUGCUAAGCAUGCAAAGACAGUUGCUAAGAAGAGCAUGAAAGCAGCUGCAAAAGAAGUGUGUGUUUUGCAACAAAAUGAAGAUGUUGAUGGAACAAAUCCUGUAAACUGUGGUAUUUGAUGUGACGGUACCUGGCAACGAAGGGGACAUUCAUCAUGUAACGGGUGUGUUACGGUUAUGUCGAUGGAUACCGGGAAAGUUCUUGAUGUUGAGACACUGAGUCACUGACUACAUUUUGCAAAAGAGGCAAUCAUUGAACUUUUAAAUCUACUGGAUAUUACUCCUGGCAAGUAUACAGAAGUGGCUUGUCAACUUGAAGACAAGUUGAGAGUUUCGCAUGCAGAACACAAAUCCACGCCCGAAGUUAAAAAGAGGCGUAAAGUGAUGAGAGGACUGAAAAAACAAAAGUGUGACAAAAACAAACAGGGGGAGGGAGUAAAGUAUGGUGCUGGAGAGUUCUAUUGACUUUUAGGGACAUGAAGUGUUUUUGGUAGCCAAUUACAUAGUAUGAAAAGUUUAAACUGUAUUUUCUCCAAUAAACGAUUUUCGCAAGGUUUGUAAUCUGCCAACAAUGAUAUCUCAAAAACAAUUUAACAGAUUUGGCUAAAAUUUUCAGAGGAUGUUUACUUCAUCAAAAGCUAUGCAAUGAACUAGAAUGAAGUCAUUAGGUCAAAUACUUUUUGUGCUAUAAGCAAAAAUUCAUGCUGGUCAUGAUUAAAUUUCAGGCACACAUAUUGUUUCAUUCAGAACUUAGAAACUAUUUAUCUGAUUUAAAAUCUUUUAGUUCAUUGCAUGGGUCUAGUAGUGCUUAUUAUUUUCCCAAAGUUUCAUAGACAAAUCUUAAAUUGCUUUCGAGUUAUCAUGUUUGGCGCAA